rnacentral:rRNA from 1 species
GACGAACGCUGGCGGCGUGCUUAACACAUGCAAGUCGAACGGAAAGGCCUGCUUUCCCUUGUUGGUUGCGGGUACUCGAGUGGCGAACGGUUGAGUAACACGUGAGUGAUCUGGCCUCAACUUGGGUAUAAGCCUGGGACACUGGGUCUAAUUCCCGGUAGGACUGCAGGGUGGUGCCUGUGGUGGAAAACGAGUUUCUAGUGGUUGGGGAUGAGCUCGCGGCCUAUCAGCUUGUUGGUGGGGUAAUGGCCUACGAAGGCGGCGACGGGUAGCCGGCCUGAGAGGGUGGACGGCCACAUUGGGACUGAGAUACGGCCCAGACUCCUACGGGAGGCAGCAGUGGGGAAUAUUGCACAAUGGGCGGAAGCCUGAUGCAGCGACGCCGCGUGGGGGAUGACGGCCUUCGGGUUGUAAACUCCUUUCGACCGCGAGGAAGCCACCUGGUUGGAAGGGUGGUGACGGUAGUGGUAGAAGAAGCACCGGCUAACUACGUG